rnacentral:rRNA from 2 species
GCAGCCUGAUCCAGCCAUGCCGCGUGCAGGAUGACGGUCCUAUGGAUUGUAAACUGCUUUUGUACAGGAAGAAACAGUUCUACGUGUAGAACCUUGACGGUACUGUAAGAAUAAGGAUCGGCUAACUCCGUGCCAGCAGCCGCGGUAAUACGGAGGAUCCAAGCGUUAUCCGGAAUCAUUGGGUUUAAAGGGUCCGUAGGCGGUUAGAUAAGUCAGUGGUGAAAGCCCAUCGCUCAACGGUGGAACGGCCAUUGAUACUGUCUGACUUGAAUUAUUAGGAAGUAACUAGAAUAUGUAGUGUAGCGGUGAAAUGCUUAGAGAUUACAUGGAAUACCAAUUGCGAAGGCAGGUUACUACUAAUGGAUUGACGCUGAUGGACGAAAGCGUGGGUAGCGAACAGGAUUAGAUACCCUGGUAGUCCACGCCGUAAACGAUGGAUACUAGCUGUUGGGCGCAAGUUCAGUGGCUAAGCGAAAGUGAUAAGUAUCCCACCUGGGGAGUACGUUCGCAAGAAUGAAACUCAAAGGAAUUGACGGGGGCCCGCACAAGCGGUGGAGCAUGUGGUUUAAUUCGAUGAUACGCGAGGAACCUUACCAAGGCUUAAAUGUAGUUUGACCGGUUUGGAAACAGAUCUUUC